rnacentral:rRNA from 1 species
AUUGAACGCUGGCGGCAGGCCUAACACAUGCAAGUCGAACGAGUGGCGGACGGGAGAGUAAUGUCUGGGAAACUGUCCGGGGGAGGGGGAUAACUACGGGAAACGGUAGCUAAUCCCGCAUACCAUCGGCUGUGCCCAGAGGGGAUGCGCCAGUAGGGGGGGUAACGGCUCACCUAGGCGACGAUCCCUAGCUGGUCUGAGAGGAUGACCAGCCACAUGGGGACUGCGAUACGGGCCAAACGCCUACGUGAGGCAGCGGUGGGGAAUAUUGUACAGUGGGGGAAACCCUGAUGCAGCAACGCCGGGGGCGGGAGGUCGGCCUUCGGGUUGUGAACCGCUUUCAGCCAUUACGCGUUAGUGGCAGAAGAAGCACCGGCUAACUACGUGCCAGCAGCCGCGGUAAUUC